CCUACGGGAGGCAGCAGUGGGGAAUAUUGCGCAAUGGGCGAAAGCCUGACGCAGCGACGCCGCGUGAGGGAUGAAGGUCUUCGGAUCGUAAACCUCUGUCAGCAGGGAAGAACGGUCACUGUGCUAAUCAGCAGUGAAUUGACGGUACCUGCAAAGGAAGAACCGGCUAAAUCCGUGCCAGCAGCCGCGGUAAUACGGAGGGUGCGAGCGUUAAUCGGAAUUACUGGGCGUGAAGCGCACGUAGGCGGUAUGUCAAGUCAAGGGUGAAAUCCCCGCGCUCAACGUGGGAACUGCCUUUGAAACUGGCAGACUGGAGUGUGUGAGAGGAUAGUGGAAUGCCAGGUGUAGGGGUGAAAUCCGUAGAUAUCUGGAGGAACAUCAGUGGCGAAGGCGACUAUCUGGCACAUAACUGACGCUGAGGAGCGAAAGCGUGGGUAGCAAACAGGAUUAGACACCCCAGUAGUC
rnacentral:rRNA from 1 species